rnacentral:rRNA from 1 species
UACGAAGGGGGCUAGCGUUGCUCGGAAUCACUGGGCGUAAAGGGUGCGUAGGCGGGUCUUUAAGUCAGGGGUGAAAUCCUGGAGCUCAACUCCAGAACUGCCUUUGAUACUGGGAAGCUUGAGUCCGGAAGAGGUGAGUGGAACUCCGAGUGUAGAGGUGAAAUUCGUAGAUAUUCGGAAGAACACCAGUGGCGAAGGCGGCUCACUGGUCCGGUACUGACGCUGAGGUGCGAAAGCGUGGGGAGCGAACAGG